GGAAAAGUGACAUCAGCUCUGGCCAAGCCCAAUUAGAAGGCAGUUGUGCUGAGUUGGAAGCGGCCCAGAAGGCAGGCAGAUGAGCAAAAGCGAGCUGGGAUGGAUGAAUGCCAUCAGAACUCCUUCCUGCAUCUCCACUAGAGGGCUGUGCCAGCUGGGGCUUGAGGGUGGAAUGUGCUGUGCAGGGCACAAAGCCUCACUCCAGAAGGCACAAAUCGAUGCACAGCAUGCUCAGUAUCAUAAGAAGAUCAAUGGUAAUUGCUGAAGAUGCACAUAAGAUGUUAGUAUGAAAUCAGAAAGGUUCCUCAGAAGAAGAAUGGCCUGGCAGUACCCAGAAACAUUCCUGCAGCAAUUCUGUUGCUGAAUGAAGGAUUUUUUAAAAGUCUCCUGCUACUUUUGGAAUACAGCUUUGAGACAGAAGUUUAUUCCAAAAACUCAGUAAGAAAAAUUUGUAAUUGAGUUAGGGUCAUGUUAGUAUGCUUGCCAUUUGGUAAAGCUCCUCCUUGAGCUUUACAGCCGAAGUAAAUCUACAUAUAAAGAUACAUAAAAUGUGCUCCAAAUAUAGUGCUAGUUAUUCUGUUCUUUCAAACACCUUUUACUUUCCCACUUUUGUUAACUAGUAUGAUUUUCUAAGAGCUUAUGCCUCUUCACUCUGCCCCUUUCUCCAAAGGUGGCGUGCAGCCAUGUUCUUCAUCAGGUGCUUUAUCUCCUAUUCAGUAGCCUGUAGCCGAUAAGAUUGAGAUGAAAUUUUAAAUUGUGGCCUUGGCAAAAUAAGAAAUCUGCACUUAGCAGCUUCUGUCUCUGUUCAAAGACUGGCUCUAUUUAAAAAAAACCCAAAAACUUAAAAGCCAUGAAUGCAUAAAGAUGUUGAAACUGUGGGGUUUUUUGCCUUGAAUAACGAAAACAAAGUUUUUGAACGAAAGCCAGGCAUGAAAAUACUGCGUAAUGAGAGGGCAGUAAGUUCAUUCCUGUAAGAAACUGCUUCUGUUUUCAGCAAAAUGGUGAAGUUUCUACUGAAGGCUUGGCUGCAUCCUGACUCACGUAUUCUAAUUGAAGUCAUCUAACUCAAAGCUCUAAAACAUGCCUGACAGAAUCCAUUAGGUAUCAUGGGUCACUCCAUAGGAAGUGUCUGAAGCAGUAAUUGUGGUACUGCAAUUUCUACCAUGCUUUUGAAUGAUGUAGACAGAUAUUUAAUGGAAUAUUAUGAGUUUCAGUUGAAGGUGGUGCUGACAUAAACAACUCCAUUAAAGUAGACUAUAUAAUAGUUUUGCCAUAGUAUUAUUUCAGUGUAUCAUUUCAAGCAGUUCUCUGUUAAAACCCACCAGAUACCACCACAUGAGCUGUUAGGCUUGGCAAGAUCAUGAGAUGGCUGACUGGUCUUCCAAUAGCUCUAAAUAAAUGGCAUGCAUUCCUUCUCUCA
rnacentral:lncRNA from 1 species